GUCCCUAGAUUAAUAGCGAAUGUUGUUCAAAUUUUCCCCAUGAAGCCACUCAGAGAGGUUGAGAUGCCCACCAUUGGCUGUAUACUUCAGAAGAUGGCACAGCUGACACAAGUUUCUUUACAGCUGAUUGUUUUCACUUUACUGUGAAAGGUCAUGAGGAGUUGGCAAAAGGGCUCUGGAACAACAUGUUUGAACCUGAGGGAGAGAAGACAGUGACCGACAGUUUCUUAGAAUCAAUUAAACUCAUCUGCCCGCCUCCUGUAAGAUACACCAACAUGUCAACUUAAAUUGGUCAAUUUAAUUUUAAUGCUCAGUACACAAAAAAAUGUAUUUACAUCUUGUGUUGUCCUGGGAUCACCCUUACAUAUACACAAGACCUAAAGAAAGGUCAUCUGCAAGCUCUCUGGACCCUUUUGUCCCUAACCAACUUCCUUACCAUGUUUCACAAUGUACAG